UACGGAAGAUGCGAGCGUUAUCCGGAUUUAUUGGGUUUAAAGGGAGCGUAGGCGGAUGCUUAAGUCUGCGGUAAAAUGUCGGCGCUCAACGCCGGCCCGCCGUGGAAACUGGGUAUCUUGAAUGUGCACAAGGUGGAUGGAAUUCGUGGUGUAGCGGUGAAAUGCUUAGAUAUCACGAAGAACUCCGAUUGCGAAGGCAGUCCACUGGGGCAUGAUUGACGCUGAGGCUCGAAAGUGCGGGAAUC
rnacentral:rRNA from 1 species